AUGGCCACCUGGCAGGAAUCCGUGACAUCAUCCAUCUUGGAGUCUAAAGUUCAACCACAAUCUUCUGUAAUCUCAAAACUGACUGGUGCUGGAGACCUAGGGGUAAAACCCCUACCCCUUGGGCACCCCAAAAGGGGAAAUCUGUGGAGGGAAGGGAACAGGAAGUUUUCAUGGCUGGGAGAGAUUCUGAGAAGACUUUCCCAGGCAGCCCUGAUGGGUACACAAGGAAUUACAGGGCCAAAGAGGAGUUGUGGUCGGCUCCUGUGUGCCUCUGUGUGCUUUCCAAAUGGUGACAGUGAACCCGUGUUGCAUAAGGAAACUUUCAAACUUACAGAAGAGUGGAGAGACUCGCACAAAGAUGCCAUUACCCGUUACCAGCCUCAUCAGUCAGCAAUGUGGAGUCCCCUCCUGAAUGAGGGGGUUUGAGAUCCUUGGCUGGAAUACACAGCACCAGCGCCGAGCUCUCAGGGUAAAAUGUGAUUUGACAGGAAGGAGAGCCAACAGCUGCGGCACGGGACUUUUGUAUUAAAGGCAGAAAAUAAAGUUAUAUUUAAAAAGAGAUCACCA
rnacentral:lncRNA from 1 species